UUUUUUUCCAGGUGUGAGUAAACAUUUGUGCAGUACUGAGGGUUGGUGUGUGUGUGUGUGAGUGCCACCUUCUUGUUGGUUCUUGUUACUACAGGCAGUACUUUUUCUGGUUUUGGUUGAUUUUUGUUCUGAUUGUGCCUUUUUCUGUUCACUGAUUAUAAAUGAUGUCACAGCCUUCUGGGUACAAGGCCUUGAAUUUGUUUCCCUGGCUGGUUGCAGUUAGGAUAGACAGAUCUGGGAGCCAUGGCUACAGCAGGGCUGUACGUCCUGAGUCUUGGUCUGGGGUGGGUGUGAGCUCAGGGGAGCCAAGAGACGACCACCAAUCUGGUUCUUUUCUUCUGGGUGUGUACCACUUUCUGGUUGUUUUUCAUUUCUGCCUGCUAGAAGGAGACAGUUAGAGCCACUUUCUGGUUGAUUUUUGUUUCUGCUCGAUAGAUAGGGAAGGUUUUAUUUGUGGUUUUUGUGUGUUAUAUCUGUGUUUCUCAUUACAGAUAGCCAUGUGCCUUUGCUACCACUCAUAUUUGAGAGGUGACUUCGACAAGAUGACUUUGACAAAGUGACUUUGACUUGACAGACAUAUUAACACGAAACAGGCUAUGUCUACCACAUUCUACAAGUUUCUUUCACCACGAAAGAGGCCAGGAAGCUGGCUUCUGGCCCCACAGGGGAGUCCUCCCAAUAUGCUUGUUUUCCCUGGACUCUCCCAGAUUGAGAUGUUAGCACAGUUGAAGGAUAACUUUUCAACUGUCCUACUGCCUGACCUUGAGCUCGAUUAAUGGGUCCCUGCAUGAUUUCUCGGAAGGAUGCAGAGGUAACAUGGUUCACCAAUGGCAACAGCCUCAUUCAGGAUGGACAGAGGUACGCUGGGGCAGUGGUGGACUCAAACACCAAGAUCAUAUGGGCAGAGUUAAUCCUGGAAGGAACGUCAGACCAAAAAGCUGAACUGGCAGCUCUGACCAAGGCGAUAGAGCUGAGAAAAGACAAGAGACACAGAUAGCCAUGUGCCUUUGCUUACCACUCAUAUCUGUGGGGCUAUUGACAGGGUGAGAGGCCUUCUGACAGCAGAAGGAAGAACUAAACUGCAUUCUAGAGGACAACAAGAUAGUCUAGUGGGUAGCCCUGGAAAUUGGCCCCCUCAUGUCCUUGAUCACACUAAACCCAGGAGAUCCCACAUUCUCUGACCAGACAGAAAAUGUGAUCUGGGCCAAAAAAAAACCUGCCCAUGUCUCAGUGUCAUGAGAUUAUGGAGGACAGUUAACUGACUACAAACUAAUUGUACCAGAGAAAAUGGAUCUACACACAUUGAAAAAGAUCCAUCGUUAUUCACACAUGGGAUUCUGGUGAAUACAGGACUUAGUCUGCCAGUUACACAUCAGAAUUAGAGAUGCCAAUUUGAAAAAAGCUAAAAUCAUUAAAAACUGUAAGGCCUGUCAAUUGACUAAUGUGGUUGCCAAUGAGAAGAACCCUGGAGCACCAAGCCAGGAGUCUAUCAGGAAAUGGACUUCACGGAGGCAAAAACCAGGAAAAUUUAGAUACAAAUAUUUGCUGAUGUUUAUAGACACCUUUGAGACUUUCCCAAUUAAACAUGAGACUUUACAGAUGGCAACAGAGAAAAUAUUAAAAGAAUUUCUUCCAAAUAUGUUUUUUUAAGUUUAUAGGGUUAGACAAUGAUCCUACAUUUGUGUCUCGGGUGAGUUAGAGAUUAGCUAAUAUUCUGGGGAUUGAUUGGAAACUCCAUUGUGCUUACAGAACC
rnacentral:lncRNA from 1 species